rnacentral:rRNA from 1 species
GAUUUGGGAAACUACCUGAUAGAGGGGGACAACAGUUGGAAACGACUGCUAAUACCGCAUACAGCCUUAGGGUGAAAGAAGCAAUUCGCUAUCAGAUGUGCCCAAAUGGGAUUAGCUAGUAGGUGAGGUAAAGGCUCACCUAGGCGACGAUCUCUAGCUGGUCUGAGAGGAUGAUCAGCCACAUUUGGGACUGAGACACGGCCCAG